rnacentral:rRNA from 1 species
AGAGUUUGAUCAUGGCUCAGAAUCAACGCUGGCGGCGUGCCUCAGACAUGCAAGUCGAACGAGAACCUCCCUUCGGGGAGGGGACAGUGGCGCACGGGUGAGUAACACGUGGGUAAUUUACCUUUGGGUGGGGAACAACAGCCGGAAACGGCUGCUAAUACCGCAUAAUGCAGCGGCAUCGCAAGAUGACAGUUGUUAAAGCGGGGGAUCGCAAGACCUCGCGCCUAAAGAGAAGCCCGCGGCAGAUUAGCUAGUUGGUAGGGUAAUGGCCUACCAAGGCAACGAUCUGUAACCGGCCUGAGAGGGCGGUCGGUCACACUGACACUGACAUACGGGUCAGACUCCUACGGGAGGCAGCAGUCGGGAAUUUUGGGCAAUGGGCGAAAGCCUGACCCAGCAACGCCGCGUGAAGGAUGAAGCUUUUCGGAGUGUAAACUUCACAAGAAUGGGAAGAAUAAGUUCAGGAUAAUACCCUGAACGAUGACGGUACCAUUUGUAAGCUCCGGCUAACUCCGUGCCAGCAGCCGCGGUAAUACGGGGGGAGCAAGCGUUGUUCGGAUUUACUGGGCGUAAAGGGCGCGUAGGCGGCGCGACAAGUCACUUGUGAAAUCUCUGAGCUCAACUCAGAACGGUCAAGUGAUACUGUCGUGCUAGAGUGCGGAAGGGGCAACUGGAAUUCUUGGUGUAGCGGUGAAAUGCGUAGAUAUCAAGAGGAACACCUGCGGCGAAGGCGGGUUGCUGGGCCGACACUGACGCUGAGGCGCGAAAGCUAGGGGAGCGAACGGGAUUAGAUACCCCGGUAGUCC